rnacentral:rRNA from 1 species
GAUGAACGCUGGCGGCGUGCCUAAUACAUGCAAGUCGAGCGAACAGACGAGGAGCUUGCUCCUCUGACGUUAGCGGCGGACGGGUGAGUAACACGUGGAUAACCCACCUAUAAGACUGGGAUAACUUCGGGAAACCGGAGCUAAUACCGGAUAAUAUAUUGAACCGCAUGGUUCAAUAGUGAAAGACGGUUUUGCUGUCACUUAUAGAUGGAUCCGCGCCGCAUUAGCUAGUUGGUAAGGUAACGGCUUACCAAGGCAACGAUGCGUAGCCGACCUGAGAGGGUGAUCGGCCACACUGGAACUGAGACACGGUCCAGACUCUUACGGGAGGCAGCAGUAGGGAAUCUUCCGCAAUGGGCGAAAGCCUGACGGAGCAACGCCGCGUGAGUGAUGAAGGUCUUCGGAUCGUAAAACUCUGUUAUUAGGGAAGAACAAAUGUGUAAGUAACUAUGCACGUCUUGACGGUACCUAAUCAGAAAGCCACGGCUAACUACGUG